rnacentral:rRNA from 1 species
GACGAACGCUGGCGGCGUGCUUAACACAUGCAAGUCGAGCGGUAAGGCCCUUUCGGGGGUACACGAGCGGCGAACGGGUGAGUAACACGUGGGUGGCCUGCCCUCAGCUCUGGGAUAAGCCUGGGAAACCGGGUCUAAUACUGGAUAUGACUCCAUGACGCAUGUUGUGGGGUGGAAAGCCUUGUGCGGCUGAGGAUGGGCCCGCGGCCUAUCAGCUUGUUGGUGGGGNGAUGGCCUACCAAGGCGACGACGGGUAGCCGGCCUGAGAGGGCGACCGGCCACACUGGGACUGAGACACGGCCCAGACUCCUACGGGAGGCAGCAGUGGGGAAUCUUGCGCAAUGGGCGAAAGCCUGACGCAGCGACGCCGCGUGAGGGAUGACGGCCU